rnacentral:misc_RNA from 1 species
UGGCCUGGCGGUGGAGGCAGC